AUUAAAAAUUGAAAGCCCCGGAAAUUAUUUUGAUGCAACUUAUUGAGUCCAAAUGUUAGAAUAUAGAAUAAUCAAUAUUAUGAAAUUUUCUAUACAAUCUUAAAUCUUAUGUCUUAGACUCUAUCAUAAUUUUAUAAAUCCUGUCAUAAAAUUAGUAAAGUUGAUGGGUAUAGAUUCUGGGUUGUGUCAAUCAUAUUAAAAUAUACAAUGUUUUUUGAAGUUUUCUAUUCAAAGCGAAUGGAAAUAUUUCCAACGGAUACAUCAGGUAUUUAAAAAGAUAUUCUUACUCUAUUCCUUAUAAAACUUACGGAUUUGAUUAUAUGAUGAUAUUUUGUUUAACUUGGAACAACAUUUUUUUCUUUGAAUUUCAAAUAUAUUAAUAUAAAUUCUAAAAUUAACUUUCUUCACUCAUCAAGGUUAUGCAUGGUUAUGUUUAUAUUUUCCAGAAUGUUUUUUUCUUAUAUCAUUAUUAAACCGAUUGAACAAUCAUGCGGUUGCCUAAAUCAAAAUCAUAAAAAGUUAGGAAAAUUCAAAUUAUAAAACCAUGCUGUAUGUAAUUAUGGUUGCUCUUUAUAAAAAAAAAGAAAUUGUAGUUUAUAUUUUAAUCAACAAAGUUUGUUUAAAACUCUUGAACCAAGUUAUUUCAAAAUGGAUUGUGUUGGUUGUAGAGUAAAAUAUUUUAGGGUAGAACGAGGUUCAAAGAUGAGGAAGUUUUAGAUUUUAUGUUGAAAUACAAUAUUUUAAAAAGUGUUACAACGUGUAAAAAGUGUGGGAAACAGUGCACUUUGGCUAAAAAGUGAAAUAGGCCUACUACUGAUCAAAUAGAAUUACUGAUAAAUGACGAUUGUGAGGAGCGCAACCAGCACAUCCACUAUUUCUUUGAGGCGGCAGUAAGUAGUAAGUCCCCACGCACUAAUAGGUUACGCAUUAGUAAGGGUUUGUUGGGAUGGGUUUAGUGAAAUUAGUUUUUUCUUUUGCAUUGGUGUUUUGAGUGUUAAACAGUAAAUUGACAGUUGUCACAGAAGAUUUUUUCAAAGUGUUUAAAACAAAUUGUGAAAAUUUAAAUUUUUUAUAAAAAAUACGUGAUGUGUCCGUUGAAAAUAAUUACCAAAGCCAAUUCUAUUAAAAAUAAUAAUAAACUUUCAAACAAAAUGAAGCCUUCUAUUUCUUUUCGAGUUGAAAACAUCAAUUAUUUUGUGAAUAUCUAUGUCAAUAUCCCUUUCAAUUGCCAGAAGGGCCAAUGAUGACAAUCUUUCUUGGCCAAUUAUGUUUCUAGUGUAAGUUUUUAACCUACAAAGACAUGAAAACGAUAUUUCACAGGAAGGUGUGUUUAUUGGGAUAGUAAAAUACAACCGGUAGCCUACAAAUGAAAGCUUAUGUCCAGCUGCCAACAGACAACAGCUGAUGUCAACUGUCGACUUUUUUAACAUGAAAGCUAUUAAGGCCGGGACACAUAACUGCACGGACACCGCGCCAACGUACGGCCGAGCUAAGCCCGCAACACGGUGCAGGUGGUAGGAGAACACACUUAUCCGUACGACAGCCGAGCGGCAGCAGUGUCUCAGUUCUGUAGUGCUACUGUGGUCUGAUUUCUGAAUGUGUUGAACUAUUGUUAAUACUAUAACACUAUUAAAAUCUUGUUACAUUCAAAUUAAAUUUUUCAGUUUUAAAAUGAUUACCUGUAGACACAGAAUAUGAGAAUCAUAUGCUGGUAUAUAUUUCGGUGCAUAACAAUACCAUCAUCAGACAUUUAUCGGAAAUAUAUAAUUCAAAUUCAUUUUAUUGAGCCAAAUAAAACAUACAGGCCAAGUCAAAAAAUAAAAAAUAAAAUAACAGAAUGUAUAAUUAAAAAUUUGAGCAAAAUUUGAAUUUGAAUUAUAUCAGUAAUAAUCCGUUUUUGAACUAUUAUCAACGACACUACUGUAUAAUUUUUGAAUAUUAGACUGAACACAGUGUUGAAAAUGGAUUAAAAUAAUCUGAAAGCGCUCCACAGUGAUUACUAGUUUUAAUAACAAAUAUUAAAAAAUUAGACUGUAGUGUCGUUGAUAAUAGUUCAAAAACUUAUUAUAUUAUGUCUAUUAUACCUUUGGCUAGACUUAUUUGGUUCUACUUUUACUCUUGGUUUAACUUAUUUUUCCGUUAACCAUAUUUCUCAUGACUUUGAACGUACAAAACCGGAAAAUUCCGUACCUCUUCAAUAAGUUUUUCACUCUCUAUGUUAUUAAAACGAUGCCGCACUUUCACGUCUCAGGGCGAGUAUGUGUAACCCGGCUAUUUUUGUGUGCCUUAUAUUGAGAUGUUUCUGAGACAAGACAAGAUUAAUAAAAAAUCAAGAUUGUGCCUGGUUUA
rnacentral:lncRNA from 1 species